rnacentral:rRNA from 1 species
CCUACGGGGUGCAGCAGUGGGGAAUAUUGCACAAUGGGGGAAACCCUGAUGCAGCGACGCCGCGUGAGUGAAGAAGUAUUUCGGUACGUAAAGCUCUAUCAGCAGGGAAGAAAAUGACGGUACCUGACUAAGAAGCCCCGGCUAACUACGUGCCAGCAGCCGCGGUAAUACGUAGGGGGCAAGCGUUAUCCGGAUUUACUGGGUGUAAAGGGAGCGUAGACGGCAGCGCAAGUCUGGAGUGAAAUCCCAUGGCUUAACCAUGGAACUGCUUUGGAAACGGUGCAGCUAGAGUGCAGGAGAGGUAAGCGGAAUUCCUAGUGUAGCGGUGAAAUGCGUAGAUAUUAGGAGGAACACCAGUGGCGAAGGCGGCUUACUGGACUGUAACUGACGUUGAGGCUCGAAAGCGUGGGAAGCAAACAGGAUUAGAUACCCUUGGAGUC